AAUGGACGAAAGUCUGACCGAGCGAUGCCGCGUGCGGGAUGAAGGCCCUCGGGUUGUAAACCGCUGUCAGUUGGGAGGAAGGCUCCGUGAAGAGCGGAGUUUGACCUAUCUUCAGAGGAAGUCCGGGCUAAGUUCGUGCCAGCAGCCGCGGUAACACGAACCGGACAAACGUUAUUCGGAAUUAUUGGGCUUAAAGGGUGCGUAGGCGGUGCGGUAAGUGAGGUGUGAAAGCCCACGGCUCAACCGUGGAAUUGCGCUUCAUACUGCCGUGCUAGAGGGAGACAGAGGUAAGCGGAACUGAUGGUGGAGCGGUGAAAUGCGUUGAUAUCAUCAGGACACCGGUGGCGAAAGCGGCUUACUGGGUCUCUCUGACGCUGAGGCACGAAAGCUAGGGUAGCGAACGGGAUU
rnacentral:rRNA from 1 species